UACGUAGGGGGCAAGCGUUGUCCGGAAUCACUGGGCGUAAAGCGUGCGUAGGUGGUUGUGUAAGUCUGGAGUGAAAGUCCAAGGCUCAACCUUGGGAUUGCUCUGGAAACUGCAUGACUUGAGUGCUGGAGAGGCAAGGGGAAUUCCACGUGUAGCGGUGAAAUGCGUAGAUAUGUGGAGGAAUACCAGUGGCGAAGGCGCCUUGCUGGACAGAAACUGACGCUGAGCCACGAAAGCAUGGGGAG
rnacentral:rRNA from 1 species